rnacentral:lncRNA from 1 species
UUUGAGAAGAAAAUGACAAUUUUAUCUGGCCAAAUCUCAACAAAACGGUAGCACCAUUGCACCAAUAAACAAUUCUUUAUUGUCGUGGCCACAUACUUGAGAGGAGUACUCAUGUCUAUAUGCGUGAAGUAUUCAAUCGCUACUUUAAACCAGACCAAAAAUUAUGAUUUGCUAAAUUUACCUGUGGCCCGUCCACCGGCUGAGGCGGUAAAGAAGGACAGAGUCUUGACUCGUGAAGAAUCGCAGUUGAGUCUCAGGCUGAAGAGUUUCUAUGGAGUUUUGCUCAAAGAUAAGCUCAAGUCCACCGUGCGGAGUCAUCUCCUCUUCUCAAUUGCUCUUCUGCGUCCUCCUUCCUUCACCGCGCUUACUACCUCUUCUUAAUAGAAAGACACCUCUCAUUUCUCUUACACUUUGAAGGACAGUCUAAGGUCGGUGAUCCGAGUGAUGCAAGUGAUAAUGGAGGAGGUAGCGAUUCCAUUCUUUUUAGCUAGAAGGAUAAUUUAGAAUUUUAUAAUUUCUCUUUCUUUUUAUUAGGAUUUUAAUGACAAAAACAGUAAAAAAUAGAUAGAUUAUCUAUUUUAUUAAUAGAAAUAAAAAAAAUAUU